CCUACGGGAGGCAGCAGUGGGGAAUUGUUCGCAAUGGGCGCAAGCCUGACGACGCAACGCCGCGUGGAGGAUGAAGAUCUUCGGGUCGUAAACUCCUUUCGAUCGAGACGAAUUCCCCCGGGAUGAACAAUCCCGGGGGUUGACGGUACCGAGAGAAGAAGCCCCGGCUAACUCCGUGCCAGCAGCCGCGGUAAU
rnacentral:rRNA from 1 species